rnacentral:rRNA from 1 species
UGGGGGAUAUUGCACAAUGGGCGAAAGCCUGAUGCAGCAACGCCGCGUGAGGGAAGACGGUCUUCGGAUUGUAAACCUUUAGCUUUGGGGAAGAAACAAAUGACGGUACCCAAAGGGGCAGCCACGGCUAACUACGUGCCAGCAGCCGCGGUAAUACGUAGGUGACAAGCGUUGUCCGGAAUUACUGGGUGUAAAGGGAGCGCAGGCGGGGAGACAAGUCAGCUGUGAAAACUAUGGGCUUAACCCAUAGAUUGCAGUUGAAACUGUUUUUCUUGAGUGGAGUAGAGGUAGGCGGAAUUCCGAGUGUAGCGGUGAAAUGCGUAGAUAUCCGGAGGAACACCAGUGGCGAAAGCGGCCUCCUGGACCACUUCUGACACUCAGAUGCGAAAGCUAAGGUAGCAAACG